UUUAAAGUGUAAUGUAAGUCGCUUUGGAUAAAAGCGUCUGCUAAAUGAACUGUA
rfam:Gasterosteus aculeatus cont1.010150, whole genome shotgun sequence.